UUAUAGGAGUACCAGUAAUUGCUUCAUGGCCCUGGGACACUGAGUGAGGAAAUAAACAGCGAAAAGCAUGGUCUUAGCCGUUGUUUCAUUUCCAGCAAAGAGAAGGUUGAUGAUGAAAUCUGCAACUGCAUCAUCAGGUGCUGGCAUCUAGCAGGGUCAAGGCCAAAUGGCUGGGGAUGGCUUCUAUCCAAAUCAUUGGAGGGUGGUGUUUGUGUAUUCUGGGAAGAUGGAUGCCUUUUUUGUUGUGUUUUUGUGUGACUUUUGAUUUGUUGCGGAUUGUGGUGAUGUUUUUUUAUAGGAAGAACUCAGGUAACUAGUUCUCAUGUAUGGAAGCUAAGAUGCUUGUUGUAAUACCUCUUAUGCAAGUCUUCAAUUGUAGCAAGGGUUGGUCCUGUUGUUUUUUUAGGUUGGUGUGGAUUGAUGAUUGAAGGAUGUUAUUGGGUGUACAUUCGAUUUCUGUUAUCGAUAAAGUAAACCUUUUUGCUGAUAA